GAUGAACGCUGGCGGCGUGCCUAAUACAUGCAAGUCGAGCGAAGGGAUGAGAAGCUUGCUUCUCUGAUGUUAGCGGCGGACGGGUGAGUAACACGUGGAUAACCUACCUAUAAGACUGGGAUAACUUCGGGAAACCGGAGCUAAUACCGGAUAAUAUUUUGAACCGCAUGGUUCAAAAGUGAAAGACGGUCUUGCUGUCACUUAUAGAUGGAUCCGCGCUGCAUUAGCUAGUUGGUAAGGUAACGGCUUACCAAGGCAACGAUGCAUAGCCGACCUGAGAGGGUGAUCGGCCACACUGGAACUGAGACACGGUCCAGACUCCUACGGGAGGCAGCAGUAGGGAAUCUUCCGCAAUGGGCGAAAGCCUGACGGAGCAACGCCGCGUGAGUGAUGAAGGUCUUCGGAUCGUAAAACUCUGUUAUUAGGGAAGAACAUAUGUGUAAGUAACUGUGCACAUCUUGACGGUACCUAAUCAGAAAGCCACGGCUAACUACGUGCCAGCAGCCGCGGUAAUACGUAGGUGGCAAGCGUUAUCCGGAAUUAUUGGGCGUAAAGCGCGCGUAGGCGGUUUUUUAAGUCUGAUGUGAAAGCCCACGGCUCAACCGUGGAGGGUCAUUGGAAACUGGAAAACUUGAGUGCAGAAGAGGAAAGUGGAAUUCCAUGUGUAGCGGUGAAAUGCGCAGAGAUAUGGAGGAACACCAGUGGCGAAGGCGACUUUCUGGUCUGUAACUGACGCUGAUGUGCGAAAGCGUGGGGAUCAAACAGGAUUAGAUACCCUGGUAGUCCACGCCGUAAACGAUGAGUGCUAAGUGUUAGGGGGUUUCCGCCCCUUAGUGCUGCAGCUAACGCAUUAAGCACUCCGCCUGGGGAGUACGACCGCAAGGUUGAAACUCAAAGGAAUUGACGGGGACCCGCACAAGCGGUGGAGCAUGUGGUUUAAUUCGAAGCAACGCGAAGAACCUUACCAAAUCUUGACAUCCUUUGACAACUCUAGAGAUAGAGCCUUCCCCUUCGGGGGACAAAGUGACAGGUGGUGCAUGGUUGUCGUCAGCUCGUGUCGUGAGAUGUUGGGUUAAGUCCCGCAACGAGCGCAACCCUUAAGCUUAGUUGCCAUCAUUAAGUUGGGCACUCUAAGUUGACUGCCGGUGACAAACCGGAGGAAGGUGGGGAUGACGUCAAAUCAUCAUGCCCCUUAUGAUUUGGGCUACACACGUGCUACAAUGGACAAUACAAAGGGCAGCGAAACCGCGAGGUCAAGCAAAUCCCAUAAAGUUGUUCUCAGUUCGGAUUGUAGUCUGCAACUCGACUACAUGAAGCUGGAAUCGCUAGUAAUCGUAGAUCAGCAUGCUACGGUGAAUACGUUCCCAGGUCU
rnacentral:rRNA from 1 species